rnacentral:rRNA from 1 species
AGCGAACGCUGGCGGCAGGCUUAACACAUGCAAGUCGAGCGGGCACGCUCGGGUGUCGGCGGCGGACGGGUGAGUAACGCGGGGGAACGCGCCCUCGGGUACCGACUAACUCAGGGAAACUUAAGCUAAUACCGGAUACGCCCUCAUGGGGAAAGGCUUGGUGCCGGAGGAUCGGCGCGCGACUGAUUAGCUAGUGGGUAGGGUAAGGGCACACCAAGGCGACGGUUGGGAUCGGGUCUGAGAGGGUGAUCAGCCACUCUGGGACUUAGACACGGCCCAGAAUCCUACGGGAGGGAGGAGAGGGUAAUAUAGGAACACGGGGGCAGGGCUGAUGCAGCCCUGCCGGGUGAGUGAUGAAGGCCGUAGGGAAGUAAAGCUCUUUUAUCCGGGACGAUAAUGACGGUACCGUAGGAAUAAGCCCCGGCUAACUACGUG